rnacentral:rRNA from 1 species
UAUGUGAUCGUCUCUCGCAUAUCAAUAAGCGGAGGAAAAGAAACUAACAAGGAUUCCCCUAGUAACGGCGAGUGAAGCGGGAAGAGCUCAAAUUUGAAAUCUUAAAGGGGUUUCCCUUUACGAAUUGUAGUUUAAAGAAGUGUUUUCUGUUGAGGUUUUGGUAAAAGUUCUUUGGAAUAGGACAUCAUAGAGGGUGAGAAUCCCGUAUUUGACCUUUACUUUCAACUUUGUGAUACACUUUCAAAGAGUCGGAUUGUUUGGGAAUGCAGUCCAAAAUGGGUGGUAAAUUUCAUCUAAAGCUAAAUAUUGGCGAGAGACCGAUAGCGAACAAGUACCGUGAGGGAAAGAUGAAAAGAACUUUGAAAAGAGAGUUAAACAGUACGUGAAAUUGUCAAAAGGGAAGCGUUUGACACCAGUGUUGUUUUUCUGAAAAUCAAUUAAAGAACUGUUUAUGCUAAGUUGUUUAGACUUUAUCAGCUAACUGUUUAGUUUUGAGCUUUUCUUUAAUGCACUUUUCAGUUAACAAGUCAACAUCAAUUUCUUUUGCUGUAAAAAAGCUUGAGGAAGGUGGCUUGAGAUUCGUCUUAAGUGUUUAUAGCCUCUUGCCUAUGCAGUCGGAGAGAUUGAGGUCUGCAGCGUAGAUCCUUCGGGGCUAAAUGCAUUUGUGCUAAGUUAUAGCAUUUUAUAGACAACUUGUUGACUAUGAUUUGUCUUGUAGCUUACUCGCUUAUGUUAUUUUACCUACGCUUAGGAUGUUGACUGAUAUGUAGUCGU